rnacentral:rRNA from 1 species
GUGGGGAAUCUUGCGCAAUGGGCGAAAGCCUGACGCAGCAACGCCGCGUGCGGGAUGAAGGCCUUCGGGUUGUAAACCGCUUUCAGCAGGGACGAAAAUGACGGUACCUGCAGAAGAAGCUCCGGCUAACUACGUGCCAGCAGCCGCGGUAAUACGUAGGGAGCAAGCGUUGUCCGGAUUUAUUGGGCGUAAAGAGCUCGUAGGCGGUUUCGUAAGUCGAGUGUGAAAAAUCUGGGCUUAACCCAGUGGAGCACUCGAUACUGCGAUGACUUGAGUCUGGUAGAGGAGUGUGGAAUUCCUGGUGUAGCGGUGAAAUGCGCAGAUAUCAGGAGGAACACCAACGGCGAAGGCAGCACUCUGGGCCAGUACUGACGCUGAGGAGCGAAAGCGUGGGGAGCAAACAGGAUUAGAAACCCUGGUAGUCC